AUAGCGUUAAGGUAUAAGGUAUUAUGGUAUAAGACAACAAAGCGGGUGUGUGUUACACGCCCUGAAUGGUCACCUGACCAGGCAAGGAAGGGGGCGAAGAAAGAUGUGCAAAAACAGAUGGAGGAACGCAGAGGAGUGGGGGCAGUGAAAUGAGGACAGACAGAAAGAGGGAAGGAACAAGAACGAAGAGGUCCGGUCCAGCCCAGUCCCAGUGCAGCUUCCUGACUGGAAAUAGCCCACAUGGGUGAACUCGUGGGCUGUUUGAAAACAUGGCGGACUGGUCGUCCGCACGCGGCCAAGCAACCGCGCUGACCUCGAACAGUGAGGAGAAGCAGCUGAGGUCAGAAGCCGGAAGGCAGUCAGGUGAUGACCAUGAAAGUUCCAGCCUCCAGUCUCCCAGCUCAGAGGGCUGGAAAUAGUAUCGACCCAUCUGUGUGGAUCCUCUGCGCCGGCUGCCCACGAUGAUGUCAGAUGGAGGGCACACGAGAACCAAUGACCUCGCGACGACCCGGAGGAAGGCGGGGCUCGGCGGAGAAAAGACGAGUGUGGCCAGAAAGGGGGGACAAGGUGAGAGGACAAUAAAGGAAUACCGCCAUCCAUCUUCCAUAACCGCUUGUCCAGUACCGGAUCACCAUGAGCCUGGAACCCAACCCAGGAAGUUCAGGACAGGGAUGGAAUGCCAGUCCAUUAAGGGACAUGCACUUAAUCAAAGACUAAGGGUAAUUCACAGACACUAAUUCACCUAACUGUGUGUUCUUGGAUUUGGAGUCCCAGAGGAAUCCCAAAAACACAUGGUAGGACAUGGAAACUCCACGACCUCUGGAACUGAACACUACCCUUGAGAUAUGGAGGUGCAGGGAGGGGGAGGGGUUUCCCCAAGUCAUGCUUCAGUCAAUGAUUUAAUUCGAUUUGCCAACGUCAGAUUUAACGCCACACAAAAGAAACAAAAGAGAGACAGACAUAGAGGCAAAGGUCACAUGACGUUUCAUAAAUUGUGAUGGUCACAAGGUCUUUCCCAGGCUGCCCCCAGUGGACUCGACGUCCCACUAGAGGACUUGGUACUGCCCCUUGACAAUAAAGACUCACCUCCCUGCUUGCCGUAAUCUAUUAUUCAAGACCCUUGAUUUGUACCGAUCCACUAGCUACUCUGGAUUUCAUCCACGGCUAAAUUUACAUAGAUCCCUAGAAACGUACAGUAAUUACUGUGAACUGUUAAAGUGGUAACACGAUAAAUAAGGUAAUUAAGCAGCUGUUCGAGAAGACUGAGGAGAAAGCGAACGUUACUGCUUGAAACGGCGACAAAGGCCAGUUCAGGUGAUUUAAAUAAUAAAGUGCAAACUCA